CAGUUUAUUCUUUUAAAAAAUUAAAAAUAUGAUUAUUUUCAAAGGGACUAGCUCUCAGUCAUCUUUUUGUAUUCUGCUUUCCAGACAUAUCUGUUUUUAAAAGUUUGUGGUCCUUGUCCAUCAUGUUUGAGUGUACAGAUGUUCUUUUUGACAUCUACCUUUGUUAUAUUUGAUUACAAGAUACAGAGAAGCCACAUUUUGGGAGGUUGAUUUGGGAGUCUUUAUUAGAAAUCUGAAAUGAACACAUGUCCCCAGAAAACUUGCAGCCUCAAAUGCACUUAAUAAUGUUAGGAAACUGAGCCACGAGGGUAGUAAAGAAAGACCAGAAAACAAUCUCAACAAACCAGAUCAACUGUAAUGGAGAGUUGAAGAGGAAUACCAUGGUGACCUGAGGAGUGUCAGAAGAUACCAGGUAUGGCGCAAUGGUGGCAGAGGUCCAGAGAGCCUAAAUAGGGUAUGGUCAGGGGGCGGGGUCACAGGGACCUAACGAGUUCAAAGGGUCUUUCGAGUUUAUGGUAUAGCUAUGGCAGAUCCAGGAACCUGUUGCCCAAGUCCCUGCCCCUGCUUCUAGGAAUUCAGGCUGGCCUGUCACCAGGGGGUGGAGGAGAGACUUUACCUCUCCCAGUUUUCCAAAAGUCCUUAUCAUCCACCAGAUGACAAGAUGGCGCCAGUUAGACACAGUAUCCAUAUUUCACCUUCACAUAUUGGUCUUAUUGCUUUCUGGAAACAGUGUACAGAUAUCUGCAUUGUGGUCUUCACUCCUAUUUUUUCUCCUUCUUGUUUUUCAGUGGGAAGAAAAUAAAUCCAAUCUUAAAGGUUGUUUCUGCUUAUCCCACUCCCUCACCUCUUCAACUUGGGGUAUUUUACCUCCUGAUCUCAUGCCAUUCGAAUUCUAAUGUUAGUGACCUUAAGUCACUCACACCCUAACUGGUUUAAAUUUCUUUACCUGAGUAAGGGUAACUUGCUUUAGAUGUCUUGAAGGAUGUACAGUAGUGCCUCAGGGGUAAAAGAAGGCCACACUUCUGGGGUAGUGCUUGGGUAGUAGAGGUCUUGCCU